GGUUUAAUCACCCAAGUUUGAGGUGAAAAUGAAGAAAAAUUUGCGACUUUGUUUUACGUUGCGCAAGGUACUUCCAAGAAUACAAA
rnacentral:sRNA from 1 species